UACGUAGGGUGCGAGCGUUAAUCGGAAUUACUGGGCGUAAAGCGUGCGCAGACGGCCUGAUAAGUCAGAUGUGAAAUCCCCGAGCUCAACUUGGGAACUGCGUUUGAAACUAUCAAGCUAGAAUAUGUCAGAGGGGGGUAGAAUUCCACGUGUAGCAGUGAAAUGCGUAGAGAUGUGGAGGAAUACCAAUGGCGAAGGCAGCCCCCUGGGAUAAUAUUGACGCUCAUGCACGAAAGCGUGGGGAGCAAACAGGAUUAGAAACCCUGGUAGUCC
rnacentral:rRNA from 1 species